CCUUACAGCACCAGUAACUCCAGAUAGUGGUUAUUCAUCAGCCCACGCGGAGGCCACCUAUGAAGAAGACUGGGAAGUAUUUGACCCCUAUUAUUUCAUCAAACAUGUCCCGCCACUGACAGAAGAACAACUAAAUAGGAAACCUGCUCUUCCGUUGAAAACAAGAAGCACACCGGAAUUCUCCCUAGUUUUAGACUUGGAUGAAACACUAGUGCAUUGUAGUCUAAAUGAGCUAGAAGAUGCAGCACUUACUUUUCCAGUCCUUUUCCAAGAUGUCAUUUAUCAGUUUCUGUUCCUGCAGAUCCACCAAUUCAAGACUCUAGGUCAUCUCACUCCCUCUUCCAUCCCGAAGAUGACUUCUAUCCACAAGCAGGAGUGAAUCAAAAGACAUUUUUCACUUAGCUCUUGAGCUGAACCACCUCCUCAAUGACCUUCCUCUGUCUCCAUCAAGAACUGGAGCUCAGUUUUUUGAAGAUGUAAUAGAACUACUCAGCCCAAAUGUGGCUGAUUGAAGACAAAAAGAAGAUACCUCAUAUGUUUCACCACAGUGCAGCCAAACGUAACUGUGUUGUCCAACUCCUCAUUCUGUAAAGCUUGGCAGGGGCAUCUGAUUUUUGACUCUGUUCACCAAUAAGACUUUAGCCAGUCAGUGGCUUUCUGAAGAUCAGUAAAAUCAACAAACUUUGGGUCAGCUGUCCAGAAAUCAGAUUGUGGUAAGCACUCAAGGACAGAUAGGAUCCCU
rnacentral:sRNA from 1 species